rnacentral:rRNA from 1 species
UGGGGAAUUUUGGACAAUGGGCGAAAGCCUGAUCCAGCAAUGCCGCGUGUGUGAAGAAGGCCUUCGGGUUGUAAAGCACUUUUGUCCGGAAAGAAAUCCUUGGCUCUAAUACAGUCGGGGGAUGACGGUACCGGAAGAAUAAGCACCGGCUAACUACGUGCCAGCAGCCGCGGUAAUACGUAGGGUGCAAGCGUUAAUCGGAAUUACUGGGCGUAAAGCGUGCGCAGGCGGUUUGCUAAGACCGAUGUGAAAUCCCCGGGCUCAACCUGGGAACUGCAUUGGUGACUGGCAGGCUAGAGUAUGACAGGGAGGGGUAUAUCCACGUGUAGCAGUGAAAUGCGUAGAGAUGUGGAGGAAUACCGAUGGCGAAGGCAGCCCCCUGGGCCAAUACUGACGCUCAUGCACGAAAGCGUGGGGAGCAAACAGGAUUAGAUACCCUGGUAGUCCACGCCCUAAANGAUGUCAACUAGUUGUUGGGGAUUCAUUUCCUUAGUAACGUAGCUAACGCGUGAAGUUGACCGCCUGGGGAGUACGGUCGCAAGAUUAAAACUUAAAUGAAUUGAC